GAUGAACGCUGGCGGCGUGCCUAAUACAUGCAAGUCGAGCGAACGGACGAGAAGCUUGCUUCUCUGAUGUUAGCGGCGGACGGGUGAGUAACACGUGGAUAACCUACCUAUAAGACUGGGAUAACUUCGGGAAACCGGAGCUAAUACCGGAUAAUAUUUUGAACCGCAUGGUUCAAAAGUGAAAGACGGUCUUGCUGUCACUUAUAGAUGCAUCCGCGCUGCAUUAGCUAGUUGGUAAGGUAACGGCUUACCAAGGCAACGAUGCAUAGCCGACCUGAGAGGGGGAUCGGCCACCCUGGAGCGGAGACACGGUCCUUACUCCUACGGGAGGCAGCAGUAGGGAACCGUCCGCAGUAGGCGAAAGCCUGACGGAGCAACGCCGCGUGAGUUAUGAAGGUCUUCGGAUCGUAAAACUCUGUUAUUAGGGAAGAACAGAUGUGUAAGUAGCUGUGCACAUCGUGACGGUACCUAAUCAGAAAGCCACGGCUAACUACGUG
rnacentral:rRNA from 1 species